UCUUGCUCUGAUACAUCUUAAACUCAAAAUGAUCUAAUACACUUUUCAAAUCAACUCUUAAACAUGCUUUGGCACACAUAAUUAUUUUUUGUAUCAAAAGCAAUUAAAGCACAUAAUUAUUCUUUGCUCUGAUGCUAAAACUAAAAUCAAAUGAGAAUGAGCAAAUUUUCAAAAUACAGCUUGCUCUGAUAACAAAAACAAGUUUUCUACUCUAACACCAAAAUCACAUAAUCCAAUGAGCAUAUCUUCAAAUCUUUAAGCAAAUGGGCAAACUAUUCUUGCAUAUGACCAUUUAUAUCACAUACCAAAAGAAUCAUACUCUUUUCAAGCAUAUACACCUAUAAUGCAUUCUUUUGAAAUUAAUGCAUUCACAUAAAUGCUUUUGUUCAAGUGUUUUGUCAUCAUCAAAAAGGGGGAGAUUGUUGCUCCUAGAUUGAUUUUGAUGAUU
rnacentral:lncRNA from 1 species